rnacentral:rRNA from 1 species
CCUACGGGUGGCAGCAGUGGGGAAUAUUGCACAAUGGGGGAAACCCUGAUGCAGCGACGCCGCGUGAGUGAAGAAGUAUUUCGGUAUGUAAAGCCCUAUCAGCAGGGAAGAAAAUGACGGUACCUGACUAAGAAGCCCCGGCUAACUACGUGCCAGCAGCCGGGGUAAUACGUAGGGGGCAAGCGUUAUCCGGAUUUACGGGGUGUAAAGGGAGCGUAGACGGGGCGGCAAGGCUGAAGUGAAAGGCAGGGGGGUAACCCCUGGACUGCUUUGGAAACUGGCAUGCUUGGGGGCUGGAGAGGUAAGUGGAAUUCCUGGUGUAGCGGUGAAAUGCGUAGAUAUUAAGAGGAACACCAGGGGCGGAGGCGGCCUACUGGACAGUAACUGACGUUGAAGCUCGAAAGCGUGGGGAGCAAACAGGAUUAGAUACCCUUGUAGUC